GUUUUUUUUUUGAGUAAGGGUUUUAAAACGCCAACAAGAACCCAGCCCCCAACGCGAAAUUCAUCAUUUCUUACGACUCCUAUAGAAGCCGAACGUGAUGCAGCUCCUUUCUGCUCCAUCAUCCAAUCACUGGUUUUCAUAUUUCAUCAAAGCCCAUUCACUUAGCCACAAAGGAAAGCAAUUUUCAGCAUCUGUCGAAGAAGAUUACCAACUUUCUUCAAUAUUUCUCUCAAUUUUCGCAUGCCCUAGAUCACCCAGGGCUCUUGCUUGUUACCAAGCGCCUUAAUGGUGAUAACUAUCCCACUUGGAAAUGCUCCAUGAUUAUCGCUCUUACAGCCAAGAACAAGAUUGGCUUCGUCAACGACUCCAUCAAAGCGCCUUCGCAAGCAAAGAAACUGGUUGACUUCGUGCCUCUGGGAAAGGUGUGACAAAAUACUGCUUUCUCGACUACUCAAUUUAAUUGAACCCAAAUUGGCAGAAUGGGUUGUUUAUACUGCCUCAAAUUAUAAGAACGUAGGAAAGAAACUUAUAGAAAAGAGAAAGAAAUUGUAGUGGACUUCGUGUGCAGCCCAUUGUAUUGACUUGAUGCUGGAAGAUAUCAGUAAGUUGAAAGAUAUCAACAACAAAUGGUGUUUAUGUGGCUGUGGGGAAGACCACAAUUCAGUAAAUAUGGUUGACAUCAUAUUGCAGGUUGAGAAAGUAUAAAACCCAUAUCAUUAGCAGGGCCACCCAGAUAACGAGCAUGUAGGAGACAUUGUAACUGACAAUGGCGAGUGCACACCAUAACAGUGUCAUUCUGAUGAUGCUAAAGGAAAAAAGCACGAAACCCAAAGUGCCCCCAGAUUUUGCUGGGUUUCCUAACAGCAUUUCCAUGGCAUAUGGCAAGGAGAAGAAAGGGUUGUUACUAUCCAUAUGAAUAGUGACCAUCCUAGCAAAUUUUUUUUUUCUUUGUUUUUCCUCUCAUUUCCAUGGAAAAGGACAAUCACUAUUCACAUGAAAUUAAUUUUUGGUAUUAUACUUACAAGAUUUAUUUUCAUAAGAUUUUCAAUUGUCAUGUGUCUAUAUUCAUUAUAAAAUUCACAUCUCGUAUUUCGAAUAAAAUAUUCGGUUAAGAUUUUCGGACACGUGUCCAUAUGUAUUCACAUCUUAGAUUUCGGAUAUGAUUUUCGGUUGCUACUAUUAUAUUUCGGUUGCCACGUGUCAUCUUUUUCUUCUAAAUCCUACUAUAAAACCACACCCUCAACUCACACUAAUCAUCCUUAUCCUCUUUAUCCUUUUAUUUCUCAAAUUUUACAAAAUACAUUCUGCUCUUAAUGUCUAACAUGAGGAGGUUGUUGGAGAGGGCCGAGUGAGAAAAUGAAGAAAAAUGCGUAAACGUGCUGAAGAAGAAAAGAAGUGGGAAGCACAUAACAAUCAAGUUAUUUUAGUAAUGAGUAUGGUCGAUCAAUCAAGCAAACACCACAGUGGUUCACAAUCCAGCCAUGGCCCAAACGUGGACAGGCAUAGACACUCUCAGAAGUGCGAUGCUGUUUUGGGUCUUCUUCUGGAGCAAAAACUUACAACUUCCUUACGAAUGCGUGGCGCAUUUGCAGUGGAUGAAAUUGCUAGGAUGGGGAAAUCCACUAUCCUAGAGUGCUUAGUUAGAUUCUGUGAUGCAAUCGAAACUCUCUACACGAGGGACUAUCUCUGCAAACCUAAGCCUACGGACUUCCAAAGGCUUAUGCAAAAAGUCGAGGUUUGAGGUUUCCCAGACAUGAUUAGAAGCAUCGACUGUAUGCACUGGCAGUGGAAGAAUUGUCCAACUGCAUGGCAAGGAGAUUAUGAGAAUAGGAAGGGCAAAAAAAGUAUCAUUCUAGAGGUUGUUGUAUUAUUCGAUACCUGCGUUUGGCUUGCCUUUUUGGGAGUUACGGGAUCUCAAAACUACCUUAACGUGCUUGAUCAAUCUCUAGUGUUCAAUGAUAUGUUGAGAGGACAUUCCCUUCAGAUCACAUAUCAAAUCAACAAUACCAUCUACUCAAGUGAGCACUACCUAUCUCUUGGUCUUUAAAGAAGCAAGUCGGUGUAUCUCGUAGUCCUAUUAAAGCAGAGUACAAGCCUUGGCUCAUUGUGCAGCUAAUAUUUUCUUGAUACUUCAAUUAUUAUGUGAUCUGGGGACAUUGCUAUUCCUGAAGCUCCAUUAUUGCACAGUGAUAAUCUCUAAGCCUUAGCUUUCAGUGCUAAUCUCCAAUGUUCCACUCUUGCAUUAAACACUUACACAUUGACUUUCAUUUCAUUCGUGAAAGGGUUCAAUGUAAAGAUUUGAGGAGUCAAUAUAUUCCUUCUGAUGA